AUAGAAUAAUACGUGAGGAGGAGCAGGGAAAUGAAAACUUAGCGCCAAACAACCACUAAUCGUCUUCAAUUUCCCAUAGAAAAUCGAAACGUCUUCCGACACUUGGAAACAUGUUGUCGAUUGGAUGCCUAGAAGUUGCGUCUCUGAUAAAUAAAAGAAAGUGCAAUGGUAUGGCUGGAUCAAUCUCGAAAGUACAUUGAUGUGGCUAGCUUAUUUUCAAAAGCUGAAUGUUGCUAUUUUCAUUAUUAAUUUAAUAAUUUUUGGUGAUGUAACUUGUAGUAGUUAUUACUUUAAUUUUACCCAUAUUAUUUUCCAGCCACAAUUGGCUUUUUUGUUAUUUAAUUUAGCUUUGUACUUUAAAAAAAUGUUCUCCUAAAAGCUGUUUUAUUUUUAUUAUUUAUUAUUUUGAUUAUUAUUUGCUUUUUAAGAGGAAUAGUUAGGGGUUGUUUGAUAUGCUCAUGGUAGAUUCUAAAUGGCCUUGAUAUCUCUCAAAUAUGAUAUGGGGUUUAUUUUUUUGCCCAAGCUGGUAUGUUUUUUGAUCGCUUCAAUGAAAGUUUGAAGUUAAGUAUGAUUUGGAUGUUUUUAUAGCCUUUGUUUAUGGUCUCGUAAGUGUUGCAGUAGCUUCAAAAUUCUGUUGUUGUUGCACAUUUGGUGCAAAGUACAUGUCUUUAGAUGUUAGCCCCAUAAAGUUCAUUGUCUUUUUCUAAACAAAUUUUGAUUGACCUCUACUACGAGUUUUUUAGUUUUAGUUGCUUUUUUGUUGUCUAUUUUAACGAUUGCGUGUACAUAUUGUUUUUGGUUGUAUUUUUACAAAUAUUUGAAUACAAAUAUAUAUUGAACUUCUGUUUUAUACAUGUUAGCUAUGUAUGUAUUUGGUGUAUUGUAUGGUACAAGCAUGGGGGCAUUAUGAUUUUCAUCUCGCCCGGGGCAUAGAAAACCAAUGGACCGGCCCUGGUGAAUGCAAUACAGAGCAUGAUUGUUGACGGCGCCUUCUUCCCCAAAUCCUUAUAGGGCAUUUGAUUCGUCAUAUUACCCUCGAUCUUCUGCUCUCAAUUCUCAAGUAACUCUCUCUCACUCUCUCACGUCGUCUGACCACUACCAUCAGAACUAACAAAUGGUAGCGUUAUACCGCACCACCAUAAGAAUACUCAUCAUCUGGGUCGACUACAUGUUGGUGGGGCUUGGGCAAGGUAUCUCUAUCAAUUGAACUGAAAGAUAAACUAUAACCAAAACCAAAAUGAAGUUGAAUUUUUAGAAUUUGUUGGAUUUUGUGAGUUCUUUUUCAUGUAGGUAUUUGUAGAAAUUCACAUUUGUGCAAUACAUUAAACGCAUUGUAGUUGUAAAGGCUAAUGAAAUUUCAAAAUCAUGAAG